GACGAACGCUGGCGGCGUGCCUAAUACAUGCAAGUAGGACGCAGUUGCGAACGGGUGAGUAACGCGUAGGUAACUACCUAUUAGAGGGGGAUAACUAUUGGAAACGAUAGCUAAUACCGCAUACUAGUAGAUGGACCUGCGUUGUAUUAGCUAGUAGGUCGGGUAAUGGCCUACCUAGGAAACGAUACAUAGCCGACCUGGGAGGGGGAUCGGCCCCACUGGGAAUUGGAACCGGCCCAGACUCCUUCGGGAGGCAGCAGUAGGGAAUCUUCGGCAAUUGGGGGAACCCUGACCGAGCAAAGCCGCGUGAGUGAAGAAGGUUGUCGGAUCGUAAAGCUCUGUUGUUAAGGAAGCGGUACUUAACCAGAAAGGGACGGCUAACUACGUGCCAGCAGCCGCGGUAAUAC
rnacentral:rRNA from 1 species